rnacentral:rRNA from 1 species
UCAUGGGGGUACAUACUGAACGCGCCCGAUCUCGUCUGAUCUCGGAAGCUAAGCAGGGUCAGGCCCGGUUAGUACUUGGAUGGGAUUUUAUAAAAUUUUUAGCUUUGGGGAAUGGACUUUCCCUUAUAAC